UGUCAAGCCAGCAGAGGAUCUUGGUUCAAAGGCCAGAGAAAAGACAGAUAAUUAGACUUAACUCUCCCUUUUCUUCAUAUAACGAGAGAGUUAAAAUAUUUAGAUAAUGAACAAAGUUGCAAUGUUCUUUCUUCUUUUCAUUUUUGUAUUUUUAAUGGAAAGUCCACUUCAUUUGAACAUGAUUUAUUCAGCACCCAUAAAAUUGAAUCAAUCAUCAGCCAAACCAAAUGAAAACAAUAGCGGUUAUCAACAGAGCGGAUUUCCAUCAAAGUACUCAGCCAUGAUGAGAAAUGAGACUGUUGUUCUACAGAGAAAAAUCUGGAAAGAUUCUGAUGUAGCCUAUGCUAUACCUAAACGAUACAUCAAAUGGGAUAUAAGGAAUAUGGCCUUAUAAAAUUCACAAAUAGCCCUCUAAUCAAAUCCCUCUGAGAUGGUACCACACAAAUCAAAACAAUAAAUGCAUCAUUUAAU
rnacentral:lncRNA from 1 species